AGGGCUCUUAAACACAUUUCGGCAUGUUCAAUUACGGUUUGAGUAGUGGUUAUCACUUCACAGACUGGUCCCACGCAUGCAGAAGUAAGCUCAAGAUGCCCAGAGCUGGGAUAUUCCCCUAAACGCCCUUUUCGCUAACAACAACUGAAUUCCUACAGUUUGUAGUUUGAUAGUAGAUGGGCGGAAAUUC
rnacentral:snoRNA from 1 species